UAGUUCUCUUAUUGGGAGGCAGUAAGCGUAACAGGUUGGCAGGAGAGAUGAAGAAGUAAUCAUAGGCAUUGAUGCUGUUGUUUACUAGCUAAGGUGCCAAAGACAUCCAUCUGUCAAGAAAAUGUGUGAGAUGUUGACCAAGCCUGGAACCUCUGACCCUGAACACCCCACUAGGGACUAAAGAUGCCACUCCAAUGAGAGUGCAUCUGCCUGAUGCUCAGGUACACGGGAGACCACCAGAAUGUCUGGGCACAGUGAGAGUAUUUGAGACCGUUUCUCUGUACUGCCAGCAUUGCCACCAACGGAGGUAGCUGGCUUACUUUGGGGACCCAUGUGCUAGAGACCCAGCCUGCGUUCUGACCCUGAGCUGCCACUGCUAACUUUGGACAUUCACAGUAUUACCAGUUGCCAAAGCCAGGCCCUUGGCACUUCUCCUGGAAAUGCAGACUCAAUCCCCUGGGCAGCACUGAUUCUUCCAUAACCCUAUUUCUGGCUCCUGGUUGAGUAAAAGAAAGAAAAUGGUGAGUGAAAAAUCCCAUCUGUUCCUAAAGACUGGCCUUAAUAUAGAGCUCACCUUUCUA
rnacentral:lncRNA from 1 species